ACUGAUUUUAUGUAGACAAUUACGGUCAAAAACGUUGCACCUUCCAUGCCUUUCUCUAUUAAGCCUUCAUUUUUCUUGUGAAUUGCCUUUGUACGUACAUGCUUCUUAUUGCCUUCCACACAACAUUAUAAAACAUAGUUAAGGAAAUUAACAUAGCUAGAUGCAAAGAUGGGUUUUCCAAAGGAGGAGAAAUCGAAAAGGAUAUUGAGGGGUGUGAAGAUUGUGUUCUUCUUGAUCACCAUGGUUAUGUCAUUUCUUCUAUUCUCCGCUCCAAUUCUCUUGGUUAUUGCUGAUGCAGUUGUUCCUUCUGCUAUUCUCUCAGCCUCUUCCACCUCUUCUCUCUUGUCCCAUUUUGAGAACUACGACUUUGGAUGCUCUCUAAUUGACAUACCCCUAGUAUCCAUCAUACGGUCCCUAGUCAUAUUUUGUGUUUAUAGUUUUUGUGAUGGGCCAAGGCUUUCACAUGGGCCUUAUUUGGGGGUUACCACGGUGUGCUCGGUGAUGUCGCUAAUGUUUGUUUGCUUGAAAGGUGUUUAUGUGUUUGGGUACGAGAGAGGGACAAGGUACGAUGAAAUAGCUCUGUUUGUGUGGUCUUGUUGUUUGGCGGUGGGGCAUGUCGUCGUUGCCUAUAGAACAAGUUGCAAAGAAAGAAGGAAGCUUCUUGUUUACAAGAUUGACAUCGAAGCUAUUUCAGCCUGCAAGAAUGGGUAUCCUAGGUAUCCGAAGAUUCUUCAAGAAGAAAGAGUCAAAUGAACCCACUCUAUAUUAUAUCAAUCUAACAGAUAUUUUCUGCCAUCAACUUCAGACAACUAUUCAUUUUUUCCUCAUCGAACUUAGUGAUUCAAUGGCUGUCAUUUGAUUCGAUUUUUAGUGAGUAACAUAAAGAAUGCUCAGAAGAUAUGGAAACUUUUGGCUAAGGUGUGUAUAGAAAAAUACCCCCCUUAUAUGGAUGUCAGUAAUUCGAAAGAUUAUUCCUUAACUUUUUCCUAAGAUAUAUCUUGGUUUAUCAAAAAAAAAAAAAUGAAAACUCUGGACAAAGAUUAUUCAGUUACUAAAUUUCCAUAAUUUGACGUUGAAGUUUAAAUUUAUGAUCAUACAAAGUACUUACAACCAACAGCACUCUCCUGGUUGCUUGGGUGUCCCUGAUUUUAAGCAAUUCUGCUUACUUGAUUCUGUUAAAAUGAUUCCUAAGAUACUCUGUCUCUGUAUACAUUCUUAUUCUUUCCU